CAUUUGGGGGAGCUUUCAGAACAGAGAAGAUUUAAGUGGGAUUGUUUCCCCGCUCCUAAGCUUUGAAUAAGCCUUGUAACAUGGGUGUGCUUUCGUUGCUGUUGUGAGAAAUUAAUGGCUGAUGCUUACCUGCUUCAUAAAUAAGAAGGCAGAUGAAGUUUUCCGUGUUCAGCUCAGGUGCAUCUUUUUAUCCCAGAUAGCUUGCGGCAUGACAGGAUUUGAGCGACAGACGUCCAACCUGGAACAGUGCUAUGCAUAUUUAUGUUUGUUUACAGAGCCUCAUCACUCCUGAAAGAUGUAAAUUUUAAAUGUGCUUUUAUUGGGAGAAGGAACUGUGAGGAAAAGGUUGUUACCUUGGAAUGCAAAGUCAAAGUUAUUGUAAGGCUCUGCCUUUCAUAAAAAUUUUACCAAGUUUUUAAA